UUGGCCAAAAAAGGCCUUCGUCUUCCCUUCCCUUCACCCACGCACAUUCCCAUUUCCUCUCCUUUUCUGCUCAAGAUCUACGGCCGCUCCAGCUUCGACUGCGGUGCCCAUGCUCAAUCUUGGCUUGGUGCUCUUCCACGUCCCCUUCCUCUUUAGCCUCCUUUAUCGACCACUCCGGCGAAUCCUCCGACAACUCACUGCAGACCUCGACGUCACCAUGCAGUGCGCUCCGACGGCCGCCUCCGGUCGAUCCCGCUCCAAUAUCCAUGAGGCAGAGCAGCUGCGCUCCUCUCCCGGCUCCGGCCACCAGCACCGGCCCUGCAGCGCGUUGCCAUCCUCUUCACUGCGGCCAUCUGUUUGUCCGAUUCGUUGUACCAGGCGGGGAAGGAGCAGGUUUUGGAAGGGGAAAAGCAUGCGACUGGUCUGGGAUACUGACACUCUAAUGGAUAUUUUUUCAACUAAGGUUAAAGGUUUGAAACUAAAUUCAACCGUUGCAUCUGAAGUUCUGAAGUCUGACACAACUUAGGCAGUCUUGAACAACACUUGCUUACUCUUCUUGUACCAAGAACAUGGUUUUGAUUUUGGAGUAGAACACCUGCUUAAUGACAACAAGGUAUGUUUUAUAUCUGCUAUUUUUCCCUGUUUUGACUUAUCAUAUUUAUUCUUUAGAUAAAUAAUUUUCUGAGACAUUUUUAACAUAAGUAAAUUAACACUAAGAACAAAAAUGUUGCGGGAUAAGGAGCUGUGGCAUGACAACAAAAAUAUUAUAGUAUUUAGCAACACUUUAAAAUGCUCAUAUAUCAAAUACUUUUACAACCAUUAUAACUUCAAAUCUGCUCAAAUCUGGUCCAGCGAGUUCAAGUGCUAAGAACUUCCUUGUAGACUAUGUUCAGUGUGGUCAUUACUAAGGACUCGGUUCUUUUUAUUUUCUUUGAAUUAUUUGUCUUGUCCUUUCCAUUGUCCUUGAUGGCGAGGAUCUUGAUGUUACUUUUAGCGGUGGCUCUGGACAACGCAACAUACAACUGGCCAUGAGAGAAUACCGACUCUGGUAGGUAAACGCCCACAGUCGGGAUGGUCUGCCCUUGCUCCUUGUUUAUCGUCAUGGCAAAACUGAGCCUGAUCGGGAACUGCUUCCUCUUGAAUCUAAAUGGGAACAUGUCGUCGUCGUAUGGGCAUAGAGGUAUCCGAGGAAGAAACACCCUCUCCCAUGCGUGCUGUCCCACAACGAUCUCUGCGUCGAUGGCGUUACUCUGGAACCCACAGACCACAAGCCUCGUGCCAUUACAUAGCCCGUUAGCUGGGUCGAUAUUCCUCAACAAUAUAACUGGGCAAUUUAUCUUCAGUUUAAGCGCGUGCGGGGGAAGCCCAUUAGGAGUUAGGUCAUUCAGGAACUCUUGAGGAUAGUAGCCGUGUGGAUCGUCCUCCACGUAUCAAAGCUAUAGUAGAUCGUCUCCUCGCCAUGAAAACGCUCAAUCAUGUGCAUGUUUAUUCCAUCGACACUAUCGUUCCUUGUGGAGAGAAUUGCUCUAGAAGUCAUGUAAUGCGGAUUUUCCAUGUUGUGGUCUAGGGCAGGAAACACGUGGUCGAUCAAAUUAUUUAUAUCAGUUGCGUCAUUGCCUGUAGACGACACACAUAUAUCUUCGGUAAGCCGGGUGUUUCCAUCCUCAUCGGUUUCCUCGGUGCCGUUACCCACCCUCAGGAGGUAAUCCGCGAACCAUCGGUCGUUUUGCGCCCUCAUGUUCUUGACGACCUUUAUGCUCUUCCAGAGUUUCGAGCUCCACAGACUUGCGUCUAUUAUCUGACCUCGUGACCCUUUCCUCACUACCGGAAGCACCUUCCUGAAGUCCCCACUGAACACGACAGUCUUGCCCCCAAAAGGUCAGUGUGGGCGUUCCAUGAUGUCUCGCAUGCUUAUGUCUAACGCCUCAAUUGCCUGCCGUUUUGUCAUGGUUGCCUCGUCCCAUAGAAUGAGCGAAGCCAUUCUCAGGAGCUUGGCUGUCCCACUCUGCUUAGUGAAGCUGCAUGAUUUUCCUUCUUCAAAGUUUAGUGGGAUCUUGAACCUCGAGUGGGCUGUCCUGCCUCCUGGCAUGAUUGAAGCGGCAACUCUGCCUGACGUCGCUGUGGCCAACGCGAUCUUUCUCUCUCCUCGAACCCUAGCGAGCAGUGCCCUGUAAAGGUAGGUCUUCCCUGUGCCUCCUGGGCCAUCCACGAAGAAUACGCCCCCAUUUCCGCCAUCAACUAUCGGUAGUAUUUCGUCGGCUCGUGGUUUAGUAAGGUCGCUAGAGAAGCAUCUACCUUGUCUAAUUGGAUAUUGGUUUCCUCGAUGACCUCCCUGGCCUCUCCAUCUGUGUUGUCAUAGGUCUCGUCGAUGUCUGGUAGAGGGAACGAUUUUAUGUCUUUGCCCAUGGACUGCAGCAUGCCCCUGAUAUCAAGCAACACCUUCUGCUCCAUUGCUUUUGGGCAUGUAUGUUUAUGCCGACAGUCGUCAGACAUCGCCUCAAGGUGCCUAUCCCAAAGGCCGCGCACAUCUCCAGGCUCGCAGAAUACCAAGAUUGUUGCGAAGAGCCUCCUGAGUGAGGCUGGCAUGGAGAACUCCUCUGACUCGGUAAGACACUCGUCGAGCGCGAUGAGACCCCUCCUCUCGGAGGCUUCACGAAAGCUAUCACAUAUCACACCGUUCACUGUUUUGAGAUCUUCGAAGGACUUUGAGCCUGGUAUGUGAUUUAGAAGCACCCUUAGGAAGUAUCUCGCUCCCUUGGCAGGAUGGGGUGAUACGAUUCGGCCUACUUGUUGGCCCUUGUCCCUUUUCUUCCAGUACUUUGUUGUUUGCCAUGUGAAACUUCUCGGAAAAUCUUUGUAAAGAAUAUCCCGAGCCCACGCGUGCUUCUCGUUAGCCACGAAAUACUCCGUCAGCAUGGAUGGGUUCUCUCGGGCGGCGACGUCGUUUAGGUUGUCUCCCGCUUUGAAUGUGACCAUUUGCAUAUUUUCGAGAUGAAGCGGCAACGGUAGGACCGACGGGUGGUUCUCACAUAGCUUGAAGCCGAAUAUACUCCACAUGGCCUCUGGUGGAGUAACCCACCUUGCAUCAACGAAUCUCUUGAUCUCGUCUAUGUUACCAUCAGCAUCGAGCAUCUCGAUAUUGAAUGAAGUUUGAUCGUGGCCCUUAUAUACGUACUUAUAUAGGUACUUGGCGGCCUUUAUGCUGGAGCACACCUCCACGUUGAUGUGGUAGUCAAACAUCCGCAAGAGGUACGGGUUGUAAGGCACAACCCAUCUAUUGUCUAGCAUCUGGCCUUGGACCUUCGCACAAUAGUCGUCCUUCCAUCUCCAAUAAAUGGGGUAUGAGUCUUUCCCUUGUACGGUGGUCUUGUUGAACGCCCGCGGGUACCUACACUUGCACGACCCAUCUUGCAUGCACACGUUGUUUGGCUUGAGGACACCACAUGGGCCGUGCAUCAUAUGUUUCAUGACUAUGGCGUAUAGCUCCGGGUACUUAUUCUUGUCCGGGAGCUUGGCGGAUAUGACGCGGUCCUACUGCUCUGGCACAAUGAGCUUAUAUUUUGAAUCCAUGAUCAACAGAAAAAUGGGCGUGUGAGAGGCCCCUCUUCUGGAACUCAACCACAUAGACGUAGGCCUUCACAAUGCCUAGGAUAUGCUUCUUGGUCAGCAUCUCUUUCAUCGUCUCUAGCUUGGACCUAAACACUCGGACAUGUGGGGUUUGUCCCGGAAGCAGCGCAUCCUGUAUCUCCUGCCAAUUUGGGUUACAGGUCAUCGGAUGUCAGGCUUGCCGUACGUCUGCACCAACGCCAUGGCGUCCACAUGUCUGCGCUUCAUGUCUCGGAAGCACCCUUGGAACUUCGACGGGAGAACAGUCCUUGUCCCAAUAGCGCUUGGGCGAGUCUCUUCAGUCAUGAUGCUAUCCACAAUGCCUUUAUAUAGAUCGGCACGUAUCUCUGGCUGGUGCUCCCUGAACCAACUCAACCUACAACCCUCAAUCUUUAUGUACAUGUCGACCGCAAACUGUUGGAAGAGACGCCCUCCAUGUAGUAUAGGGUUGAAUAUAGCCGGACGCGUAUGUAGUUGGUAACAGUAGUAGUCCCUUACGGAGACGCAUAUAUUGGCACCUCCAUUUUCGUGAAUGAAAAUUAAAAGAAGGUUAGGUGAAGUACAAAAAGGAUAGUCAAAAAAUGCAGAACUAUGUUGAACAACCGAACCUUCAUCCCCGCGGUUCUCUCUUGAUAGUUGCGCAACGUGCCAAGGCGUAUCAUGUUUAGGGAGAUUUGGAUGCCAGCCGAGAUCCCCCUUGGGGAAGAAGAGGGGGUACGAGAGCGGGUCAUAGCAUCCUUGGGUGGCCUGUAUACUAUGCCUCUCGUUGUUAUUUCCGUAUAGGGUAAUGCUGCGCUUGAAUCUAUUUGCCAGGUCGCUUCCCUCGACCCAGAUCGUAGCCACCUCGGACGACACCGGUAAAUUGUAUCUCCGUUGUCUAGCUUCUUGUCGGUAUUCAGUUCUAUACGGUAGUCCUGGAGGUUGUCCUUGUGGGCGCCCAAACUCCUGAACUUCUCAGAGUAGGGGUUUCCUUUUAGUAUGUCCACUACCUUCCGCAUGACCUCUUGGUCCAGGUCUUUGGUGGCAUCCUUGCGAUGGACCAGACUUGGAUCGUCGUCGUAGAAGUAGAGUUGUAGAUGUUCCGGGCGAGAGUUUAGCCCGAAUGAAUGCAUGUUGUGGUACAACUUUCCUUGAGCUCGGAAUGUGUACACCCCGAUCUCAUGUUCGUGCAGUCGUUGUCUAGGCUGACGCCAAGAGUUGUGAAUGAGAAGUGGCCGUUGAAGAAUCGUAUGCUCUCCCGAAAAUGUCGAGAGUCCGCAUCCGCGCUAGACCAUAACUUCAUUAGCUCCGGGAUAGGCUCUGGUUCAGCCAGCUUUAUAUUUCCGUUUCGACAACAGAAACCAUCGAUCUCGCGCUCAAACUUCUUGGCAUGGCAGUGUUCGCAGUUCGGUUCUUGCUUUAGGAUGUGUGUGCUGUUUAGGAGGUUCGAGUACACAAAGUCAAAAGGAUCGAUAGAUUCUGCGCCGGAUGAGUGUGUCGGUGUAUCAAUGUCCAUGUCAUCAGCGUCGUAACCUAGAUAUGCAUAGAAUUUCAUAACAAUAUGUUCAUCUUAACUCGUAUAACAGAGAGAGCUGAUAGAAAGUUUGGCAUAAAUACCUUCACGGGUAUAGCACUGCUCGUCCAUGAGGUCAACAGAGAUGGCAUCUUCGUCCAUGAUACUGCUUCGGAAGCUCUCCAUGUCUCCUACAACAUUAUGGAUUCAGUAAGUAUGGCGCUUUAAUGUGCCAAGAUGUAACUAAUAAAUGUAUUAAAGAUGGGUAUGUUACCCUCGGUCCCAAUGGUAUACGCCGGCGUGUUCGUUGAAGGGGAAGCGGGAGCUGAAUUAUUUUCCUCUCUGGCAGGUAAUUUGUAUGUGCUCACAUGCAUGUUUAUUGUAGGCAAAAUUGCUGCAGUUGGGCACGGCAUCGCGAUUGAUUCAGUGCAUGGGGUGUUCCUUCUAGCUUCAGCAGUUGCUCUGCGCUGAGCUAGCAAUGCUACCCUCUCCUCUCCAGUUUUGUUUUGACUAGAUAUGCGCCGUCUUGCAUUCAACUCCUGCUGUUCUUCUUUGGAUUUAUUUUGCCUGCUAGCCCUUUUCUGUAUGUUCCUCUCAUCGACCGACUUGUUUUGCUCGAGUGCUCUUCUAUGUGCAUUAAUAUUCUUCCUUUUAUCAUUUGUCAAACUAUUUCGACGAGCUCUAUCAUCAUCACGUCUUGCUUGAUUUAUAAACUCUGAAAUAUUUUUAAUUGGUUGAUGGUUAGUUGUUCAUACUGUACAUUGUUUUUGCAAAUGUACGAGUAUUGUAAAAAAAUAGAGAAUUACUUUUAAUCAUGACUUCUGGCUGCUUUGGAGUUUGUAUGUCACCGUUGCUCCUUUUCAUCAUGGUUAUUAUGAGAUCGAUAGCUUCGGCAUGCUCAUCAUCACUGCUGAAUGGUUUUCUGGGGCAUCUUUGUCUUUGCUGGGUGGACACAAUGGGUAGUAUAUGCCUUUCCAUGAAAGUUUGUUAGUUUUAUAAAUAGACACAUGUUUUUUGAAUGUAUAUGUAUUGUAUGAAAUUUAAAAUAUUACCGUUAAUCAUAACUUGUGGUUGUUGUAAGGGUUCUAUGCUAGCGUUGUGGCUAUUUAUCACGGCAGUGUCUUGUUGUGAUGAUACUGAUCUAGUUUUCCUCUGUUUUGCCGAGAACUCUUCGCUUCGACGAUGUAGCAAUGUUUGUCGUUCUCCCGGCGUCACAUGAUUUCUUUGUCUCACAUUUUAAGGUAGAUGUACCACCUUCCUGCUGUGUUGCGAUAUAUGCCGGGUUGACCAUCGCAAUUGAUUCUUUGCUUGUCAUGUUGCGCUUGUUGGCCUCUUUAUUUUGUUUUGUUUUGCUGAUAGGCUUCACGGCGAUUUUUUUCAGUUUUUCCUGCUUUUCUUCAUCUGUCAUACGUGCAUGCUGCUCUCUAUCUUUUUUCCGUCUUUGCUCCUUUGCAUCCAUGAUUUUAGAUUGCAGCCAAAAUGGCUUGCCUGCAUGAAAUUUGUAUAGUAAGUAUUUUGUGAAGCUAAUUAGAGCAUGUACUAUCUCUUGUUGCAGUAAAUCUAUGGCAGUUGCUAUCCAGGAUCAUAGAACUUGACAGGGUAAACCUAAGUAAGCACACUCCUAAACUUUUCUUGGCAUUCUGUAAUGCUUGUCAUGGUUUAAGAUCUGAUCAGUACACUAUUGGAAUUUUCAUCUCAGUUCAUAUUCAACCUAUAUCCUAUUCGAAUUUCAUCUCAGUUCAUAUUCAACCUACAUCGAAACUUGAAAAGUAGUACAUCUCAUCUACUUGCUAUUUGGUGCACGGUGGAGAGGGCAUAACCCCCCGACUAUUUAAUACCAAAGAAUUCUUUGCAGGAUUUUAUUGUUUUCUACAUAUUACAUUGGCACAGUCUGAUAUUCAAAUGACAGGAUUGAGCAAAGUAGUUUGCUCCUUGAUGAUGUCUGGCAAAUUGGUAGCAAGCGUGGAGGAUGGGUGGUUUGACAGGUUGACUUCCGGUGAACAGCAAUUUCGAGGACGGAGGGUGAAAUCGAUUUUGAGCACACAGGGGGAAAUUGUGUCGAGUAGUCAGAACUUGUGGUGGUGCUUAUCGCAGAACUCCUUGUGUGGCUUAUUCUGUAUGUUUAUAUAGGAGAACCUGGAGAACGAUGUGCUCCUGGUCGAACUUGGUCAGCUGUGUUCGAUCAGGACACGGUAAGAGCUUUUUAUGGUGGACACGGUCAGCUAUAUAUUAUGGGCCUUCCAAUUUAGAUUUUGGCCCACAUACCCUGAUCGUUUUGAAUAGUACCACUUUGCUAACAGCACAAGAGGUAGGGCUCGCGGGAUCGCAUCGUGAGACAUUUGGUUCGCUGGUUGCCGGUCCGGUUUUUCUUUGUUUUUCCUGCUGGGGGCGCUCGCGGGAUUGUAU